GAAGUAAAAGUCGUAACAAGGUCUCCGUUGGUGAACCAGCGGAGGGAUCAUUACCGAGUUUACAACUCCCAAACCCAAUGUGAACGUUACCAAACUGUUGCCUCGGCGGGAUCUCUGCCCCGGGUGCGUCGCAGCCCCGGACCAAGGCGCCCGCCGGAGGACCAACCAAAACUCUUAUUGUAUACCCCCUCGCGGGUUUUUUUAUAAUCUGAGCCUUCUCGGCGCCUCUCGUAGGCGUUUCGAAAAUGAAUCAAAACUUUCAACAACGGAUCUCUUGGUUCUGGCAUCGAUGAAGAACGCAGCGAAAUGCGAUAAGUAAUGUGAAUUGCAGAAUUCAGUGAAUCAUCGAAUCUUUGAACGCACAUUGCGCCCGCCAGUAUUCUGGCGGGCAUGCCUGUCCGAGCGUCAUUUCAACCCUCGAACCCCUCCGGGGGGUCGGCGUUGGGGAUCGGCCCUCCCUUAGCGGGUGGCCGUCUCCGAAAUACAGUGGCGGUCUCGCCGCAGCCUCUCCUGCGCAGUAGUUUGCACACUCGCAUCGGGAGCGCGGCGCGUCCACAGCCGUUAAACACCCAACUUCUGAAAUGUUGACCUCGGAUCAGGUAGGAAUACCCGCUGAACUUAAGCAUAUCAAUAAGCGGAGG
rnacentral:rRNA from 1 species